ensembl:lncRNA
AGGGGGUGCGCUUCUGCAGCUACGUCCCGGAGCCCGCUGUCUCGGAGGUCGUGGCUCGGCCGAGCGCUGAGGAGGACCAUCUGGGUUCGCCGCACCCGGGAGCUUGGCUGCCGUCCUCUGAGCCGGCGGGGACCUGACGGGUGCCGCGAGCAGCAGCGCGCCGUUUCCCCCUGUUGGGAACAGUGGUUGGGCCCGGCUGCGGUAGAGCGGACGCUCGGAGAUGGCGGAGCCGCGACGCGGCCCGAGGGCCCGAGAGCUGGGAAGCCGGGCAGCCCCGGGACGCAGCGGAGCCCGGGGACCGCAGGGACGCCGCCCACUCCGCCGGGUGUGAAGUUAAAAUGCAGUGGUUAACAGCGUGGACUCCAGAGCUUGACAGGCCUGACUUUGACGCCUAGUUCCUCCACUGACUAGCAGUUUGAUCCUGGGAAAAAGCUGAACUGUUCUUAAAUCAUCUCUCUCAGUUUUGAAAGACUUACCUCUCCAUAUUCACCA